AUUAUUGGGCGUAAAGAGCUCGUAGGCGGUUUGUCGCGUCUGCUGUGAAAGCCCGGGGCUCAACCCCGGGUCUGCAGUGGGUACGGGCAGACUAGAGUGAUGUAGGGGAGACUGGAAUUCCUGGUGUAGCGGUGAAAUGCGCAGAUAUCAGGAGGAACACCGAUGGCGAAGGCAGGUCUCUGGGCAUUAACUGACGCUGAGGAGCGAAAGCAUGGGGAGCGAACAGGAUUAGAUACCCUGGUAGUCCAUGCCGUAAACGUUGGGCACUAGGUGUGGGGGACAUUCCACGUUUUCCGCGCCGUAGCUAACGCAUUAAGUGCCCCGCCUGGGGAGUACGGCCGCAAGGCUAAAACUCAAAGGAAUUGACGGGGGCCCGCACAAGCGGCGGAGCAUGCGGAUUAAUUCGAUGCAACGCGAAGAACCUUACCAAGGCUUGACAUGAACCGGAAAGGCCUGGAAACAGGUCCCCCACUUGUGGCCGGUUUACAGGUGGUGCAUGGUUGUCGUCAGCUCGUGUCGUGAGAUGUUGGGUUAAGUCCCGCAACGAGCGCAACCCUCGUUCUAUGUUGCCAGCGGGUUAUGCCGGGGACUCAUAGGAGACUGCCGGGGUCAACUCGGAGGAAGGUGGGGACGACGUCAAAUCAUCAUGCCCCUUAUGUCUUGGGCUUCACGCAUGCUACAAUGGCCGGUACAAAGGGUUGCGAUACUGUGAGGUGGAGCUAAUCCCAAAAAGCCGGUCUCAGUUCGGAUUGAGGUCUGCAACUCGACCUCAUGAAGUUGGAGUCGCUAGUAAUCGCAGAUCAGCAACGCUGCGGUGAAUACGUUCCCGGGCCUUGUACACACCGCCCGUCAAGUCACGAAAGUUGGUAACACCCGAAGCCGGUGGCCUAACCCCUUGUGGGAGGGAGCCGUCGAAGGUGGGACCGGCGAUUGGGACUAAGUCGUAACAAGGUAACCCGUAACCC
rnacentral:rRNA from 1 species